UUUGGUUAAGUUAGAAAGGGCGCACGGUGGAUGCCUUGACACUAGGAGUCGAUGAAGGACGGGACUAACGCCGAUAUGCUUCGGGGAGCUGUAAGUAAGCUUUGAUCCGAAGAUUUCCGAAUGGGGAAACCCACCAUACGUAAUGGUAUGGUAUCCUUAUCUGAAUACAUAGGGUAAGGAAGACAGACCCAGGGAACUGAAACAUCUAAGUACCUGGAGGAAGAGAAAGCAAAUGCGAUUUCCUGAGUAGCGGCGAGCGAAACGGAACAUAGCCCAAACCAAGAGGCUUGCCUCUUGGGGUUGUAGGACAUUCUAUACGGAGUUACAAAGGAACGAGGUAGACGAAGCGACCUGGAAAGGUCCGUCGUAGAGGGUAACAACCCCGUAGUCGAAACUUCGUUCUCUCUUGAAUGUAUCCUGAGUACGGCGGAACACGUGAAAUUCCGUCGGAAUCUGGGAGGACCAUCUCCCAAGGCUAAAUACUCCCUAGUGAUCGAUAGUGAACCAGUACCGUGAGGGAAAGGUGAAAAGCACCCCGGAAGGGGAGUGAAAGAGAUCCUGAAACCGUGUGCCUACAAAUAGUCAGAGCCCGUUAACGGGUGAUGGCGUGCCUUUUGUAGAAUGAACCGGCGAGUUACGAUCCCGUGCGAGGUUAAGCUGAAGAGGCGGAGCCGCAGCGAAAGCGAGUCUGAAUAGGGCGUUUAGUACGUGGUCGUAGACCCGAAACCAGGUGAUCUACCCAUGUCCAGGGUGAAGUUCAGGUAACACUGAAUGGAGGCCCGAACCCACGCACGUUGAAAAGUGCGGGGAUGAGGUGUGGGUAGCGGAGAAAUUCCAAUCGAACCUGGAGAUAGCUGGUUCUCCCCGAAAUAGCUUUAGGGCUAGCCUUAAGUAUAAGAGUCUUGGAGGUAGAGCACUGAUUGGACUAGGGGUCCUCAUCGGAUUACCGAAUUCAGUCAAACUCCGAAUGCCAAUGACUUAUCCUUAGGAGUCAGACUGCGAGUGAUAAGAUCCGUAGUCAAAAGGGAAACAGCCCAGACCGCCAGCUAAGGUCCCAAAGUGUGUAUUAAGUGGAAAAGGAUGUGGAGUUGCUUAGACAACUAGGAUGUUGGCUUAGAAGCAGCCACCAUUUAAAGAGUGCGUAAUAGCUCACUAGUCGAGUGACUCUGCGCCGAAAAUGUACCGGGGCUAAAUACACCACCGAAGCUGCGGAUUGAUACCAAUGGUAUCAGUGGUAGGGGAGCGUUCUAAGGACAGUGAAGUCAGACCGGAAGGACUGGUGGAGUGCUUAGAAGUGAGAAUGCCGGUAUGAGUAGCGAAAGACGGGUGAGAAUCCCGUCCACCGAAUGCCUAAGGUUUCCUGAGGAAGGCUCGUCCGCUCAGGGUUAGUCAGGACCUAAGCCGAGGCCGACAGGCGUAGGCGAUGGACAACAGGUUGAUAUUCCUGUACCACCUCUUUAUCGUUUGAGCAAUGGAGGGACGCAGAAGGAUAGAAGAAGCGUGCGAUUGGUUGUGCACGUCCAAGCAGUUAGGCUGAUAAGUAGGCAAAUCCGCUUAUCGUGAAGGCUGAGCUGUGAUGGGGAAGCUCCUUAUGGAGCGAAGUCUUUGAUUCCCCGCUGCCAAGAAAAGCUUCUAGCGAGAUAAAAGGUGCCUGUACCGCAAACCGACACAGGUAGGCGAGGAGAGAAUCCUAAGGUGUGCGAGAGAACUCUGGUUAAGGAACUCGGCAAAAUGACCCCGUAACUUCGGGAGAAGGGGUGCUUUCUUAACGGAAAGCCGCAGUGAAUAGGCCCAAGCGACUGUUUAGCAAAAACACAGCUCUCUGCGAAGCCGUAAGGCGAAGUAUAGGGGGUGACACCUGCCCGGUGCUGGAAGGUUAAGGAGAGGGGUUAGCGUAAGCGAAGCUCUGAACUGAAGCCCCAGUAAACGGCGGCCGUAACUAUAACGGUCCUAAGGUAGCGAAAUUCCUUGUCGGGUAAGUUCCGACCCGCACGAAAGGUGUAACGAUUUGGGCACUGUCUCAACCAGAGACUCGGUGAAAUUAUAGUACCUGUGAAGAUGCAGGUUACCCGCGACAGGACGGAAAGACCCCGUGGAGCUUUACUGUAGCCUGAUAUUGAAUUUUGGUACAGUUUGUACAGGAUAGGCGGGAGCCAUUGAAACCGGAGCGCUAGCUUCGGUGGAGGCGCUGGUGGGAUACCGCCCUGACUGUAUUGAAAUUCUAACCUACGGGUCUUAUCGACCCGGGAGACAGUGUCAGGUGGGCAGUUUGACUGGGGCGGUCGCCUCCUAAAGUGUAACGGAGGCGCCCAAAGGUUCCCUCAGAAUGGUUGGAAAUCAUUCGUAGAGUGCAAAGGCAUAAGGGAGCUUGACUGCGAGACCUACAAGUCGAGCAGGGACGAAAGUCGGGCUUAGUGAUCCGGUGGUUCCGCAUGGAAGGGCCAUCGCUCAACGGAUAAAAGCUACCCCGGGGAUAACAGGCUUAUCUCCCCCAAGAGUCCACAUCGACGGGGAGGUUUGGCACCUCGAUGUCGGCUCAUCGCAUCCUGGGGCUGUAGUCGGUCCCAAGGGUUGGGCUGUUCGCCCAUUAAAGCGGUACGCGAGCUGGGUUCAGAACGUCGUGAGACAGUUCGGUCCCUAUCCGUCGUGGGCGUAGGAAAUUUGAGAGGAGCUGUCCUUAGUACGAGAGGACCGGGAUGGACGCACCGCUGGUGUACCAGUUGUUCUGCCAAGGGCAUAGCUGGGUAGCUAUGUGCGGAAGGGAUAAGUGCUGAAAGCAUCUAAGCAUGAAGCCCCCCUCAAGAUGAGAUUUCCCAUAGCGUAAGCUAGUAAGAUCCCUGAAAGAUGAUCAGGUUGAUAGGUUCGAGGUGGAAGCAUGGUGACAUGUGGAGCUGACGAAUACUAAUAGAUCGAGGACUUAACCAUAUAA
rnacentral:rRNA from 1 species